rnacentral:rRNA from 1 species
UAAUACGGAGGGUGCGAGCGUUAAUCGGAAUUACUGGGCGUAAAGCGUACGCAGGCGGUUUGUUAAGCGAGAUGUGAAAGCCCCGGGCUCAACCUGGGAACUGCAUUUCGAACUGGCAAACUAGAGUGUGAUAGAGGGUGGUAGAAUUUCAGGUGUAGCGGUGAAAUGCGUAGAGAUCUGAAGGAAUACCGAUGGCGAAGGCAGCCACCUGGGUCAACACUGACGCUCAUGUACGAAAGCGUGGGGAGCAAACAGGAUUAGAUACCCUGGUAGUCCACGCCGUAAACGAUGUCUACUAGAAGCUCGGUUCUUCGGAACUGUUUUUCAAAGCUAACGCAUUAAGUAGACCGCCUGGGGAGUACGGCCGCAAGGUUA